GCAAGUCGAACGAGGUAGCAAUACCUAGUGGCGCACGGGUGAGUAACGCGUGGAUAAUCUGCCCUUCACUGGGGAAUAACUAAUCGAAAGGUUAGCUAAUACCGCAUGAGGCCACAGUUUCUGAGGAAGCAGUGGUUAAAGAUUUAUUGGUGAAGGAUGAGUCUGCGUGGGAUUAGCUAGUUGGUGAGGUAAUGGCUCACCAAGGCUACGAUCUCUAACAGGUCUGAGAGGAUGACCUGUCACACUGGAACUGAGACACGGUCCAGACUCCUACGGGAGGCAGCAGUAGGGAAUAUUGCGCAAUGGACGAAAGUCUGACGCAGCGACGCCGCGUGAGUGAUGAAGGCCUUAGGGUCGUAAAGCUCUGUUGCAGGGGAAGAAAAAAAUGACGGUACCCUGCGAGAAAGGAUCGGCUAACUUCGUGCCAGCAGCCGCGGUAAGACGAGGGAUCCUAGCGUUGUUCGGAAUCAUUGGGCGUAAAGCGCAUGUAGGCUGCCAUUCAAGUCAGUUGUGAAAGCCCCGGGCUCAACCCGGGAAGUGCUUCUGAUACUGUUUGGCUUGAGUACUAGAGAGGAUAGUAGAAUUCCAGGUGUAGUGGUGAAAUACGUAGAUAUCUGGAGGAAUACCGGUGG
rnacentral:rRNA from 1 species